rnacentral:rRNA from 1 species
GACGAACGCUGGCGGCGUGCUUAACACAUGCAAGUCGAACGGUAAGGCCCUUCGGGGUACACGAGUGGCGAACGGGUGAGUAACACGUGGGUGAUCUGCCCUGCACUUCGGGAUAAGCCUGGGAAACUGGGUCUAAUACCGGAUAGGACCACUGCCUGCAUGGGUGGUGGUGGAAAGCUUUUGCGGUGUGGGAUGGGCCCGCGGCCUAUCAGAUUGUUGGUGGGGUGAUGGCCUACCAAGGCGACGACGGGUAGCCGGCCUGAGCGGGUGACCGGGCACACUGGGAGUGAGAUACGGCCCAGACUCCUACGGGAGGCAGCGGUGGGGAAUAUGGCACAAUGGGCGCAAGCCUGAUGCAGCGACGCCGCGUGAGGGAUGACGGCCUUCGGGUUGUAAACCUCUUUCAGCACCGACGAAGCGCAAGUGACGGUAGGUGCAGAAGAAGGACCGGCCAACUACGUGCCAGCAGCCGCCGUAA